GGUGAACGCUGGCGGCGUGCCUAAUACAUGCAAGUCGAGCGAACGGACGAGAAGCUUGCUUCUCUGAUGUUAGCGGCGGACGGGUGAGUAACACGUGGAUAACCUACCUAUAAGACUGGGAUAACUUCGGGAAACCGUAGCUAAUACCGGAUAAUAUUUUGAACCGCAUGGUUCAAAAGUGAAAGACGGUCUUGCUGUCACUUAUAGAUGGAUCCGCGCUGCAUUAGCUAGUUGGUAAGGUAACGGCUUACCAAGGCAACGAUGCAUAGCCGACCUGAGAGGGUGAUCGGGCACACUGGAACUGAGACACGGUCCAGACUCCUACGGGAGGCAGCAGUAGGGAAUCUUCCGCAAUGGGCGAAAGCCUGACGGAGCAACGCCGCGUGAGUGAUGAAGGUCUUCGGAUCGUAAAACUCUGUUAUUAGGGAAGAACAUAUGUGUAAGUAACUGUGCACAUCUUGACGGUACCUAAUCAGAAAGCCACGGCUAACUACGUG
rnacentral:rRNA from 1 species